rnacentral:lncRNA from 1 species
CCCCCACCAAAGUGCUGGACUGGGUUCUUAAAGGGGCCACCUGAAGCAGGACUUUUUCCCACACUGAAGUCACCAACUGACAGCAGAAACAGGUCCCCCAUCUUUGGGAUAUCUCCCAGUUCUGCUCCCAGUAGAAUGUCUAAGAAAUCUUUGAUGACCAGUGCAAUCUGUGGAGGUUAUACACUUGGAGGAAGGGACAGCACACGCUGAUGGUUUGCAGUGGUGGGAAGACCAUCUGAUCCAGAGGCAGGAAGAUAAGUAAAAUGACUUCUUAGAGCCCCUUCCUGCUUUCCCAGCUCCCCUCCCCCGUCUCAAGCAUCUGAUCCCAGACCUAUUUCAGAAUCUCCUAUCUCUUUGCUCAGUGGAAGCAGUGAUAUGACAUGAUGUGAUCUCAUUUGAGAGCUAAAUAAAGCCAUUGUGUGAGACCC